UACGUAGGGUGCAAGCGUUAAUCGGAAUUACUGGGCGUAAAGCGUGCGCAGGCGGUGAUGUAAGACAGUUGUGAAAUCCCCGGGCUCAACCUGGGAACUGCAUCUGUGACUGCAUCGCUGGAGUGUGGCAGAGGGGGAUGGAAUUCCGCGUGUAGCAGUGAAAUGCGUAGAUAUGCGGAGGAACACCGAUGGCGAAGGCAAUCCCCUGGGCCUGCACUGACGCUCAUGCACGAAAGCGUGGGGAGCAAACAGG
rnacentral:rRNA from 1 species